rnacentral:rRNA from 1 species
CCUACGUGAGGCAGCAGUGGGGAAUAUUGCACAAUGGGCGCAAGCCUGAUGCAGCGACGCCGCGUGAGGGAUGGAGGCCUUCGGGUUGUGAACCUCUUUCGCCAGUGAAGAAGGUCCUGCUCUUUGUGGUGGGGUUGACGGUAGCUGGGUUAAUGAAGCGCCGGCUAACUACGUGCCAGCAGCCGCGGUAAUACGUAGGGCGCGAGCGUUGGCCGGAAUUAUUGGGCGUAAAGGGCUUGUAGGCGGCUGGGCGCGUCUGCCGGGAAAUCCUCUGGCUCAGCUGGGGGCGUGCGGUGGGUACGGGCUGGCUUGAGUGCGGUAGGGGAGACUGGAACUCCUGGUGUAGCGGUGGAAUGCGCAGAUAUCAGGAGGAACACCGGUGGCGAAGGCGGGUCUCUGGGCCGUUACUGACGCUGAGGAGCGAAAGCGUGGGGAGCGAACAGGAUUAGAUACCCCUGUAGUC